AAUACUGAAAAAGACAUCGGACGUUCUUUCAAGUGAGAUGGCGCAUCCGUACAUAUACAAGGACAACUCGUUUGAAAACUCAACUUCAGAUAUUUAUGAACUGCACCCGGUGGAGCCAGCAGGAGCCAUAUUGUCGUCUGCAGAGGACAUGGUGCGUUAUUUACAGUUUGUCUUGAACAAUGUGAAUACAACGACUGGGGACAAGCUGAUAGACCCUAAGCUCUUCGGUGAAGCUUUCUCAGCUGUCAUUCCUACGGAUGAGAUGGACACCGUGUCUAAACCCACAUUCCCCGUAUCUGACGUGCAAGUUGGGUAUGGAUACGCAUGGUUCGUCAGUAAUUAUGAUGAGAGCCAUUCAUGCUUGACGAGUAGACUUCUUUUUUGAGGCUGAAUGGCCAUCUACCGCAAUACAGAGUUAUACCGAUUUAUCGUAAAUUCCAUUAGUUCAAGCUAACUACGUGUGGGAAGUGACAGUCGGUUCCAUUUGAGUCACAGAGCGUUGUGGCACAGUGGAGGAUUUUGGUCUUACAUAACGCUAGUCUGGUUGUUUCCGGAAGAAAAUAUUGGGAUAUUUAUUAGUACAAAUGGAGGUAUGUUAGAGGAUUACCAGUACACAUCCUUGACUACAACUAUGUACUACCUGGCAGACUUAUUACUGGACAAAGAACCAUGGCUGAACUCUUCAACUGCCUGCUCCUUUCCCGAACCCUGGAAAGACGAGACAGAUUCGAGGUUGACGGAAAUUUCUGCUUUUUUACCGGACAUUUCCGAGUACACCGGAAUCUACGGAAAUGAGUUUCAACCAGAGUUCAUAUUAACUGUGAAUGGAAGUUCACAAACGCAGCUGAACUUCGAAUCAGGAAGACUCGGGGGAAAUCUCUAUUCAACCCAAGACAAAGAUCGAUUCUUGAUGGAGAUAACAUACCCGUGGGAACUUUACGUUCCGCUGAUGGACCAUAACAACGUUACGACAAAAACAAACGUCACCUUCGUUCGCGAAGUUGGAACAGUGACAUCAAUGAACAUAAACAUUGGCACCAAUAUAACAUUUACAAAAGGUGUUUCCAUGUUAGACGUUAUUUCCCGAAGCACUAACGGAAGUAGGAGGUUAUUUAGCGCAGCUUGGUUGUUAUAUCUGUUAGUUUCUUGCGCUGUGUGGCAACUGUAAUAUGGCGUUUGGCCAAUAUAUAAAUCAGCACAUUUAAAAACACAAACUUUUUAUUGAAAUCAUCUGAAACGAUACAACACGUGGUCAUAAUUUGAAGAAUCUAUUUUUUUAGCGUUUGAAAUAUAAAGUAGAAUUCAAGUGUGCAGAAACAGCUCUGAAUAAUGAAAGUCAAGGAAUGCGACCUCAUUUCCUUCAGUAAAUUUCGGGAUUAUAGAAGAUUGAUUAAAACACGAUUUUUAUCUCUUUGGCAUGCAUAGAUCACCUUUGUUUAGAAAGGCCGAGAAACGAGUAGCAAAAUUGACUUAUAAUGAAAGGAAAAUAAUAAUCCCAAUUCUAAAAAUCUCAAAAUUUCCAUCAA